GCAUCGUCAUUUGUUUUCUAGAAGAAGAAAAAAGGUAAUUAGUAUAAUAGUUGAUGUGGGUUUUAUAUUAGCUCAGAAUCUGGAAGCCUUGUGUUGUACAAAUUCUUAUUUUGGAUGGGUGCCUUGAAUCUGCUGCCUCUGAUGCUGCGUUCAUCUCCUUUGGUGGUAUCCUACAUCAAGAUAUGGAGGCCAUAGAUUCUGUUUUUGCCACCAAGACAUGCGGAAAUCUAGUAAGUCUAUCACUUUUUCUAACAUUUAUAGGUUUUGAUGGAGACUAAGGUUUGUAAGGAUAGGGAGAAUCUUUACAACCAAAGGAAUCUAGAUACUGUAUAUGGACUUUAAGCUGAUAUGUUAUCCCUGAUAGGCCAGGCACUAAGACAAAGGGCAGGGCAGGAUUUGUAGCAAGCCACCAAGGGCCAGGUUCUGUGCUAGACACGUUAUACCUGUUCCCAUGGAAUUCUCCUAUCAUGCAAGAAUACAUAUUAUGAGGCUGGUUUUACAGGGAAGGUAACUUGAGGUCACGGCCAGUAAGUGACAAAUGGGGAAUUCAAGCCCAGAUCUACUAGCUCCACCACCCACAUCCUUCAUGCUUUACCACACUGCUUCUAAAACGAACACAUUUUAAAGGGGGACAGGCAGUCUUCCUUACUGCUUUUAUUCACUUGGUUUCUAUAAAAAAAUUUUAAGGAACUAAACCAAUUCCUUUUUUCUUUUUGACACUGUUUUGGGGAGGAGGUUAGGGGCUGAGGGUGCUUAUCCCCUUACUAGUAAAAAUGGAAGCAAAGAAAUAAAAAAUAUAAUUUGUGUUAUAAUUUUAAUCUACCAGGCUUUCAUUGAGACUAAGAACAUGGAAAGCAAAAUCAAAAGGAGUUGAUACUAAGUUUUGUCUUUCUUCGCUUACAGUGAAGAAGAUUUUCACAAGCCAUGAAAUUUCCAGCAGGUGAGAGGGUGCUGGAGGAAGAUGAUUAAAAAAAAAGAGCCUGGAUCAAUCAGAAAUUGACUGCUUUUCUAUGGUGCUUUGCCUCAUUGGGAGGAAGCACCCUUACACCAUCAAAAAGCAGGGCUUAUUAAAGAACUGCAGCCCAGACAUUGCCACCCCGGCCUGCACAUGGAAGUGCCCGGGCUAAGGGUUGAAUCAGAGCU